UGGGGAAUUUUGCACAAUGGGGGAAACCCUGAUGCAGCGACGCCGCGUGAUUUAGAAGGCCUUCGGGUUGUAAAAAUCUUUUGUAUGGGAAGAAAAUGACAGUACCAUACGAAUAAGGACCGGCUAAUUACGUGCCAGCAGCCGCGGUAAUACGGAGGAUACGAGCGUUAUCCGGAUUUAUUGGGUUUAAAGGGUGCGUAGGUGGCUGAUUAAGUCAGUGGUGAAAAGCUAUGGCUCAACCAUAGUCUUGCCGUUGAUACUGGUUAGCUUGAGUGUAGAUGAUGUAGGCGGAACGUGUAGUGUUGCGGUGAAAUGCAUAGAUAUUACGCAGAACUCCGAUUGCGAAGGCAGCUUACAAAACUACUACUGACACUGAGGCACGAAAGCGUGGGUAUCAAACAGG
rnacentral:rRNA from 1 species